AGCGAACGUUAGCGGCACGCCUAACACAUGCAAGUCGCACGAGAAAGGGAGCAAUCCUGAGUAGAGUGGCGCACGGGUGCGUAACACGUAGAUAACCUGCCCUUUGGAGGGGGAUAACGUUCCGAAAGGAGCGCUAAUACCGCAUACAGCAAGAGUCGGUUCGCCGAUUUUUGGUCAAAGGUAGGGACCCGCAAGGGCCUACCGCCAGAGGAGGGGUCUGCGGCCCAUCAGCUAGUUGGGA
rnacentral:rRNA from 1 species